rnacentral:rRNA from 1 species
GACGAACGCUGGCGGCGUGCUUAACACAUGCAAGUCGAACGGAAAGGCCCUGCUGUUGUGGGUUGCUCGAGUGGCGAACGGGGGAGUAACACGUGAGUAACCUGCCCUUGACUGUGGGAUAACUUCAGGAAACUGGGGCUAAUACCGGAUAGGAGCUCCUGCUGCAUGGUGGGGGUUGGAAAGUUUCGGCGGUGGGGGGUGGAGUCGCGGCUUAUCAGCUUGUUGGGGGGGUAGUGGCUUACCAAGGGUUUGACGGGUAGCCGGCCUGAGAGGGUGACCGGCCCCAUUGGGACUGAGAUACGGCCCAGACUCCUCCGGGGGGCAGCAGUGGGGAAUAUUGUACAAUGGGCGGAAGCCUGUUGCCGAAACGCCGCGUGCGGGAUGACGGCCUUCGGGUUGUAAACCGCUUUCGCCUGUGACGAAGCGUGAGUGACGGUAAUGGGUAAAGAAGCACCGGCUAACUACGUG